rnacentral:misc_RNA from 1 species
GAAUUGCGAUAAGUAAUGUGAAUUGCAGAUUUUCAGUGAAUCAUCGAAUCUUUGAACGCACCUUGCGCUCCUUGGUAUUCCGAGGAGCAUGCCUGUUUGAGUGUCAUUUCAUCUAUCAACCAUGGCCUUGAUUGACUUCGAGAACAUGGCUUGGAGUUUGGGGGCCUGCUGGCGGACCUCGGUCGUCAGCUCUCCUGAAAUGUAUUAGCGAUAGUCGAGCAUAAUGGGUCCCUAACAUGCACGGCCUUUUUCGACGUGAUAAUGAUCGUCGUCGGGGCUGGAGUGGUUUGGAUUCACGAAGUUUCGCUUCCAAUCCCUAGUGCUGUUUUCAUUAACACACGUUUUCGAACCAUUGACCUCAAAUCAGGUAGGACUACCCGCUGAACUUAA